rnacentral:rRNA from 1 species
GAUGAACGCUGGCGGCGUGCCUAACACAUGCAAGUCGAGCGAACCCUUCGGGGUGAGCGGCGGACGGGUGAGUAACGCGUGGGUAACCUGCCCUAUACACACGGAUAACGUACCGAAAGGUACGCUAAUACGGGAUAAAGUUGUUGGAUGGCAUCUUCUAACAAUCAAAGCUCCGGCGGUAUAGGAUGGACCCGCGUCUGAUUAGCUAGUUGGUGAGGUAAUGGCUCACCAAGGCGGCGAUCAGUAGCCGACCUGAGAGGGUGAUCGGCCACACUGGAACUGAGACACGGUCCAGACUCCUACGGGAGGCAGCAGUGGGGAAUAUUGCACAAUGGGCGAAAGCCUGAUGCAGCAACGCCGCGUGAGCGAUGAAGGUCUUCGGAUCGUAAAGCUCUGUCCUCAAGGAAGAUAAUGACGGUACUUGAGGAGGAAGCCCCGGCUAACUACGUGCCAGCCGCCGCCGUAA